rnacentral:rRNA from 1 species
GAUGAACGCUGGCGGCGUGCCUAAUACAUGCAAGUCGAGCGAACGGCCGAGAAGCUUGCUUCUCUGAUGUUAGCGGCGGACGGGUGAGUAACACGUGGAUAACCUACCUAUAAGACUGGGAUAACUUCGGGAAACCGUAGCUAAUACCGGAUAAUAGUUUGAACCGCAUGGUUCAAAAGUGAAAGACGUUCUUGCUGUCACUUAUAGAUGGAUCCGCGCUGCAUUAUCUAGUUGGUAAGGUAACGGCUUACCAAGGCAACGAUGCAUAGCCGACCUGAGAGGGUGAUCGGCCACACUGGAACUGAGACACGGUCCAGACUCCUACGGGAGGCAGCAGUAGGGAAUCUUCCGCAAUGGGCGAAAGCCUGACGGAGCAACGCCGCGUGAGUGAUGAAGGUCUUCGGAUCGUAAAACUCUGUUAUUAGGGAAGAACAUAUGUGUAAGUAACUGUGCACAUCUUGACGGUACCUAAUCAGAAAGCCACGGCUAACUACGUG